UACGAAGGGGGCUAGCGUUGCUCGGAAUCACUGGGCGUAAAGGGUGCGUAGGCGGGUCUUUAAGUCAGGGGUGAAAUCCUGGAGCUCAACUCCAGAACUGCCUUUGAUACUGAGGAUCUUGAGUUCGGGAGAGGUGAGUGGAACUGCGAGUGUAGAGGUGAAAUUCGUAGAGAUCAUGAGGAAGACCAGUGGCGAAGGCGGGUCUCUGGACAGUUCCUGACACUGAGACACGAAGGCCAGGGGAGCAAACGGG
rnacentral:rRNA from 1 species